AUUACUUGGCAGACCAUUAACGUCUCCUAUUCCGCCUUACCGUGUUAAUGCGGCCUACAGGAAUCCUCUUUUAAACGACGUCCCUCUUCAGUAUUAUUCUGUUGCAGCCUGGAAUUCUCGAACGCUUUUAAAAGCCGUGGCGGCAAACUAUUAUGGCGCACGAACCGUCCUUGUUGCAUAAGAGACACUUCCGGAUUUGUCCACAAGAGGGACACGCGGGGACUGCGUACUGGAGCUUCAGAGCUAUUGCAAGGCUUUGGAAAGCUUGAAUAUAUACAAUACUGGAUUAGUUUUAUUGUCGUUUGGUGCUUUUCCGUCCUUGUUGAAGCUCAAUGCUACACUACAAAUGCUCGAUUGCAUGGAAAAACAUAUAUUCUUGGAAAUAUUGUGUUCCAGCUUCCAAGAAUAAACAUUGGGUUUGUGCCGCGUUUCUGAAUAAUCCGCGGGACAUAUUAAGGGGACACAGACAUGCACUUGGCACAGCCACCCCGCCUUGCCCUGUCUGCCCCAUCCCCUACAGCGCCCCUGUGCCAGAUGUACUGGACGCAGAGAACAUCAACCAUGGAGGGCACCUUACUUAUGCAGCAUCCUUUAAUUGGCUGUCCAGCUUCAGUGCAACAGAGAUAGAUGCUUGUCUUAUCUACCUGUUCAGGUUUUGUGGACCUCUUUCACUGUGCUGUGUAUGUGAGUUCUACAGACUUGGAUUUAGACUUACAAUAUAAAUCAAUAUAGACAGACAUGUUUCUGUGUACAUGAGAGAGACUGUCUAUAUAGAGAAUGUGAAGAUACAGCACGCCAUUUUGCUUGUUGGAGCAGGGGCGCCAUCUUGUGAGGAUCACGCUCUGUUACAGAUACCUGCGUACCUUUUGAUUUGUUUGGCUAAACAGUUGCUUAAAUCAGGGGUUCCCAAACGUUUCCAGGGCAAGGCCCCCCAAAUGGCUUUAACAUUUGACCGAGGCCCCCCUUUUGCAAGAUGUCUUUAAAACACAUUAAAAAUUCAGACUUCUGAAUAUAUCACCCUUUUUUUAAUUAAUAAUUACAUAUUAUAUCUUUCCAUUACAUUACAUUACAUUAGGAAUUGACUGUGUGUGUGUGUGGUUGUCUGAGAGUGAGAAAGAGAAAACAUACUAGUGGGAGGGAUGGGCUUGGCGGCUCCGACCAAAUUGUUGAGGCCCCCCCGGGCGCUCCCUGGUGGCCCCACUUUGAAAACCACUGGCUUAAAUCAUUCAAAUCUUGAUGGAGAAAGAAAGAGAUGAAUAAGGGGGGGAAAGGGACCCGACCGGAAGAAAUUAAAUCUCAAUGCCAAGCGAUGGUAUUUGGACAAACUAAGCACAAUAAACAACAUAGAUCCAUGUGACUAAAGGCAUCUAAACACAAGCAUUUAAACAAGAAAUCUGAUCCAGCAUCACUGAUCUGCCUUUUAAAUAUGUAAUUUCAAUAAUUAAUUUUUUUGUUAUUUAUGUAUUUUGUAUUUUAUAUUUUAUUUAUUUCAUAUUUAUUUAUUUUGCUUACUGGGUUUUUGCUUAUAGGGUUUUUUUUGCUUAUUGUCAGGUAUUGUUCUUGAAAAUUAUUUAAAAAUAUAUACUUUUUUUAAUGUUAUGGGUAUUUUUUUACUCAGCUUCCAUAUGGGAUCAAUUUCCCAUCAAAAGUAUUGUGGUCACGGAUCGAAAAAUUAUAAGUGUGAAUCAAACAUUUAAAAACACAUGCAAAAUUAUAUUGCACAAAACUGAAACAUGAAUUCAAAGUUUUUUGAAUCGCGCUCAAUAUCAUUUUCCUUGGUCAUAUUACUGUGUUUUUGUGCUCUCUGACAUUUUCUCUUCAUGUUUUCUCUUUUUGAAUGCUUGCACUGUUUUUCCCUUUGCACUUGUUUACACGUUCUCUGCUUGCUUUUGCAAAAGCUGCAGUUCGAGUUCCCUUUCAAAGCACAACGCUUUGGGAGCGCCCUUGCGCAUGACCGGCAUCUGAAGCUUGUGUAACAUCAUGUCUAUUUAUAGGCCUGCCGUGAUCAGGUGAUGUGGCAAUUAAGCGCAUCACGUGUGAUAUAUAUAUGGCACCUGUGAACCGCGCCGUCAGCCUUAUUAUCUUCAGCGAGACUGUAACGCUCACAAAAAAAUGCUUCAUUUACUCUCUAUCUUUUCAAAAAAUCUCUUGACUUUUCUAUCCCUUUAAGAAAAGAGAAGAAAAAAAGUAGACCUGCUGAGUGAGCUUGACACUGGGGAGAGAAUUGGACCUGAGGCAGUGGCAGAGCUGCACUGCACCACAGAUUUGUCUCUCUGGGUGACCAAGCAAACGGCCUGUCAUAUCGGCCGUUCAAUGGUUAGCUUGGUUGUGGCGGAGAGGCACCUAUGGCUCAACCUCUCAGGGAUGGGGGACAAAGGUAGGGUCUCCUUGAUGGACACCCCUGUUAAACCUUAUGGCCUGUUCGGUGGCGCAGUUAAUGCCAUUGCCGACAAGUUUCUCAAAGCAAAACAGUACAUAGCGGCGUUCAGCCAGUUCCUUCCCCGUCAUGUUGAGUUCGCUUGGGCAUCUAUGAGUGGAGCCCGGGCCAGCACUAGUGCGAGGGAGGCACAGAAGGCAAGUGUGGGGGUCUGCCUCCCCCAGCGGAGAACCAGGGGGACCUUACGGCCAAAGUCGCAGCCUGCUAAUAGGCCUGAUCUGAGAAUGAUUAUAAAAGCCAAGCAGGCAAGGAAGGAGCGGUCCUGAUGGGUCACGGAGGGACAUAUCAGGGGACAUGAAGUUGUUAGAGCAGAUAGCCACCAUUGCUACUGUAGGGCCUCCCGUAUCCAAGGCCAUCCCAAGUUUUCAGUGUUCUUUGGUCAGCGAGCUGUCACAGGGCAACAAAAAUCUGAACAGAAUGUGGAAAAGUUAACGUCAGUAAAAGACCAUCUGGCAGCGUGGAAACUACUGCCAAAUGUGUCUCCAUGGGUUCUGUCUACCAUAGAAAAGGGUUACCGGGUCCAGUUCAGAGCUCGAUCCCCACCGGUUCAGAGGUGUGCUCACCACAGUAGUCAGCACAGAUUAGAGCCCAAUGUUAGUACAGGAAUUAAGAUCCCUCUUGGACAAAGGGGCCAUAGAACAUGUACCCCGUUCCCUAAGGGUGGGAGGUUUUUACAGCCAUUAUUUCCUGGUCUACAAAAAAGAUGGGAGUAUGCGGCCAAUUUUAGAUCUGCGUCAUCUGAACCGUACUCUUCGGACAUACAGGUUCAAGAUGCUGAUGCUCAAACUUAUCGUGCCACAGAUUCAGUUCGAGGACUGGUUUGUGAUGAUAGAUCUAAAAGACGUAUAUUUACACAUAGGAAUAUCGCCCAGUCACAGGAAGUUCCUGAGGUUUGCAUUUGGAGACAACGCAUACCAAUAUCGGGUUCUUCCCUUCGGGCAAGCUUUAUCCCCCUCGCACCUUCACAAAGUGCAUGGAUGCUGCUCUGGCUCCCUUGCAACUCCAGGGCAUCUGUGUACUAAACUACCUGGACGACUGGUUAAUUCUAGCACGAUCCAGGGAACUGGCCCUUCAACAUCGAGAUGUUGUUGUUCUCACCCACAUGAGGAGCUUGGGGCUCAGGUUGAACCUGUGAGGGAAAUUAUUCAUUUUUACUUUGUAAUAGUUUUGUUCUUAUUCUGUUUCAUUCUCAUCAGAGGAUAACACCUAAGAAGGCCAUGUCAUGUCACUUAGAUCAGUACAGAAUGUUUAUCUGAUAUACAGAGACACAAACAUGUUCUUCUGUUCAAGGUUCAUCUGCACAUCUUCUAAGACCCUAAAACAAACCCUGUUUGAACUGCCUCAAACCACUUGUUAUCGGUAUACAGAAGUGUGUCAUGCUCUGUGUUUCAUAUAUAUAGUAGAGGUUCAGCACAAGCACUUGAGAGCACUCUCAUAAUUCUAUCCUGCUUUAUUCUAUCCUGUAUUAACCAUCUUCCUGUAAUAAACCUUUUUACCUUCAGAGGACGACUCUGCGAGUGUUGUCUAAUUUCCCCGACAAUUUGGCGUCUCCUGGCUGGGCUGUGCGAGUCUUUUCAGCUUUUCUGGACAACAAGCAAACUGGUGGACGCUCAUGGAAAAGUUUCACCUUGAAGUCCGUGUUGACGUGAAGGCGGUUUUCUCUUGGUUGUGCAGAGCGAAAGAUUGAUGCAGCCUUACCACUGACUGGUAGGAAUCAUCAAGACAAUACUGGGAGUCUGGGGGUAGACACUUCAGCUGGAAAGAUAAACCAAAGAGAGAUAUUGAAGUUUAUUGGGUGGAAGACUUGAUGAUCAAUCACGCCAAUCACACUGUUGCAGCAGAAAGAGUGCAUGACACACACACUUUUACCCAAAUUUGGUAUUUAGCUGAUCGUGGUGACGGGACUAAGUGCCUAAGGCGAUGUGAUUUCUAUAGGUCCCGCGAAGUUCUUUGGUAGACUAUUGCUGCAGAUUGGACGACAAUUAGUAGUUAAAAGCCCAUAUGCCAAGAUAUUGGCCGCCUCUGUAAACCUUUCUGUACCAGCUUUCAUCAGAAGAAUCAUUGCCAACAGUGCUACCCACACAACAUCACACGUCCCCUCGAAAUGCAGACACAUAAUGGUUAUUCUAUCAUUGAACACAUGCCGUCUGUGAUACGCAACCCUCCGCAGACUAGUGAGAUGGGGUUUGAUUGGCUGAACUCAGUACUCGGGGCAUGGGGCUCGUGGAUAUUAACCGUCUGUCUACCAAUAGGUGCAAUAAUUCUUCUUGUCUUGCUCAUUUUGCCUUGUAUUGUUUCUCUCAUUUGGAGCAGUCUCUCAUGCUCGUUGAAAUCACUAAUGACCAAAUGCUGAUGUUGACAAAGACUGAUUAUGAUACCUAUGAUGACCAACUUGACUUAGUAUCAGAUUCUCCCAGCGACACUGAUGAUGACGACCCAUUGACAUCCAUUUCACACCUAUUGUAAAUAUUCCUUUGACCAGGACGACUCUCAUUUCACUCUAAAAUGAGCUCACUUGACUACAGGAUACUUUAUAUACACAAAAACAGCCUUAGAGCCUUCAUUAUGUCUGUUUUAUGAUGAAUUCAGUUGAACCAUGAAAGGAUUCUGAAGUUCUGAUGUAUUCACAGCAUAGUAAUUUCUCUGUUAAUUUUAGUUAUCAUAUUUUGUAAUGAUAAAAUGGGGGAAAUGUGAGGGAAAUUAUUCAUUUUUACUUUGUAGUAGUUUUGUUCUUGUUCUGUUUCAUUCACAUCAGAGGAUAACACCUAAGAAGGCCAUGUCAUGUCACUUAGAUCAGUACAGAAUGAUUAUCUGCUAUACAGACACAAACAUGUUCUUCUGUUCAAGGUUCGUCUGCACAUCUUCUAAGACCCUAAAACAAACCCUGUUUGAGCUGCCUUCGCAUACCUUCCUGGGACCUUUCUGUGGUCCUGGAAGGUCUGUCAGGGGCCCCAUUUGAGCCCUUAGAGUCAGCCUCUGAGAAGCUUCUGACUCUAAAUGUAGCUCUACUGCUGGCCCUGACAUCUCUCAAGCGAGUAGGAGAUCUACAAGCUCGCUCUGUUGCCCCUUCCUGCCUUGACUUUACCCCUAGAUUAGCCAAGGCCUUCCUGUAUUCUAGGCCGGAUUAUAUUCCUAAAGUGCCUACAUCUGCUGCCCAGUUUGUAGUGUUGCAGGCUUUCUGCCCUCCUCCGUUCCUCACACCGGGACAAGAGAGAAUGCACCUGUUGUGUCCAGUAAGGGCUCUCUGCACUUACGUCCACCACUCUGGCCAGUGGCAUAAGUCGGACUAGCUGCUGGUUUGCUUUGGUGGCGACAGUAGAGGUGAUGCUGUGUCGAAGCAGCGCAUCUCUAAUUGGAUAGUGGAAGCAAUCUCUAUCACUUAUGAGGUGCACGGUCUUGUUCUGCCUCUGGGCAUAAGGGUUCAUUCCACUAGGGAGGGCGCCUCCUCGAAGUCUUUGUCCAAAGGGGUAUCCUUACAGGAUGUGUGUGCUGCUGCGGGGUGGUCUACGCCACACACAUUCAUUCGAUAUUACAGCCUGGAUAUUCAUUCCACCCCGGGCUUGAGUGUCUUGCAGUCACCCUCGGGCUUGGGUCUUUUUGAACAGGCCGUACCCUUGGUAUGACGGAGUGGGUAUUCUCAUUCCCGUAGCGUUGUGCUAACGCAACAUGGAGUUCCCCUUGAAAGGGAAUGUCUGGAUUAUGCAUGUAACCCUGUUCCCUGAGAAGGGAACAAGGCAUUGCGUAGCUUUGUCAUACCGAGGUGAAUUGUGUCUUCGCUUCAGAUAAUAGAGGCUGAUGGCACGGUUCACAGGUGCCAUAUAUAUCACACGACACGCUUAAUUGCCAUGUCACCUGAUCAUGCCAGGCCUUUAAAUUAGGCAUGAUGUUACACAAGCUUCAGAUGCCGAUUGCGCACAAGGGUGCUCCCAUAGCGUUGUCUCAUUCCCAUCUCAGGGAACAGGGUUAUAUGCGUAAACCCAGACAUUUCAUGUAAAUGAGGGCUGGCUUUAGCGUCACCAUUGGUCCACUAUAGCUCCUCCUCUAGUCAAUCAAUCAACAAGGAGAGUUGACGUCACUCCACUGCAACUAGUGCAUCGAAUUCAGUAUAAAGGGAAUCAGUCGUCACCACAUCAAUAAAGCCGUACCAACAGCUUUUCUAGUUUACCCUCACCAAUCUAUGCUCAAUACCCUAUUUAUCAUGAAGUGAUAAUAGUUUUGAACAUCUGAAGGACAAAUGGGAUGUUCUUGAGUUAAAGUGUCAUAGCAAAGGGCCUGCUUUAAAUACUUAUAUCGAUGUGGUAUUUCAGUUUUUAUUUUUAAUAAGUGUGCAAGAAUGUGUGUUGUCAUAGUGGUCUGAGUGUACAUUGUGGAAUGA